rnacentral:rRNA from 1 species
AUUGAACGCUGGCGGCAUGCCUUACACAUGCAAGUCGAACGGCAGCACGGGAGCAAUCCUGGUGGCGAGUGGCGAACGGGUGAGUAAUAUAUCGGAACGUGCCCAGUCGUGGGGGAUAACGCAGCGAAAGCUGUGCUAAUACCGCAUACGAUCUAAGGAUGAAAGCGGGGGAUCGCAAGACCUCGCGCGAUUGGAGCGGCCGAUAUCAGAUUAGCUAGUUGGUGGGGUAAAGGCCCACCAAGGCGACGAUCUGUAGCUGGUCUGAGAGGACGACCAGCCACACUGGAACUGAGACACGGUCCAGACUCCUACGGGAGGCAGCAGUGGGGAAUUUUGGACAAUGGGCGCAAGCCUGAUCCAGCAAUGCCGCGUGCAGGAUGAAGGCCUUCGGGUUGUAAACUGCUUUUGUACGGAACGAAACGGCCCUUUCUAAUACAGGGGGCUAAUGACGGUACCGUAAGAAUAAGCACCGGCUAACUACGUGCCAGCCGCCGCGGUAACAC